UAUGAGGUAUUGCUGAGUGAGU
rnacentral:siRNA from 1 species